AGAAUGGAGGAACUGAAGGUCAAGGGAAAACUGGAUUCAGGAAAUACACCCCCUACUGAUCCGGGACCGGAGGAGCGAGUCCAGUCGCAACAAACUGCUG
rnacentral:sRNA from 2 species